UACGUAGGGGGCAAGCGUUGUCCGGAUUUAUUGGGCGUAAAGCGCGUGUAGGCGGCCAGGUAGGUCCGUUGUGAAAUCCCGGGGCUCAACCUCGGAACUGCCUUUGAUACUGCAAAUCUCGAGUCCGGAAGAGGUGAGUGGAAUUCCGAGUGUAGAGGUGAAAUUCGUAGAUAUUCGGAAGAACACCAGUGGCGAAGGCGACUCACUGGACACAUAUUGACGCUGAGGUGCGAAAGCGUGGGGAGCAAACAGG
rnacentral:rRNA from 1 species